GCCUUCUGAAGAAUCAUUUGAAGUACUUAGUGGCGGACGGGUGAGUAACGCGUGGGUAACCUGCCUCACACAGGGGGAUAACAGUUGGAAACGACUGUUAAUACCGCAUAAGCGCACAGUAUCGCAUGAUACAGUGUGAAAAACUCCGGUGGUGUGAGAUGGACCCGCGUCUGAUUAGCUAGUUGGCGAGGUAACGGCCCACCAAGGCAACGAUCAGUAGCCGGCCUGAGAGGGUAAACGGCCACAUUGGGACUGAGACACGGCCCAAACUCCUACGGGAGGCAGCAGUGGGGAAUAUUGCACAAUGGGGGAAACCCUGAUGCAGCGACGCCGCGUGAGUUAUGAAGUAUUUCGGUACGUAAAACUCUAUCAGCAGGGAAGAAAAUGACGGUACCUGACUAGGAAGCACCGGCUAAAUACGUGCCAGCAGCCGCGGUAAUACGUAUGGUGCAAGCGUUAUCCGGAUUUACUGGGUGUAAAGGGUGCGUAGGUGGCAUGGCAAGUCAGAUGUGAAAUGCCGGGGCUCAACCCCGGAACUGCAUUUGAAACUGUCAAGCUAGAGUACAGGAGAGGAAAGCGGAAUUCCUAGUGUAGCGGUGAAAUGCGUAGAUAUUAGGAGGAACACCAGUGGCGAAGGCGGCUUUCUGGACUGACACUGACACUGAGGCAC
rnacentral:rRNA from 1 species